UGGGGAAUUUUGGACAAUGGGCGCAAGCCUGAUCCAGCCAUGCCGCGUGCGGGAAGAAGGCCUUCGGGUUGUAAACCGCUUUUGUCAGGGAAGAAAUCCUCUGRGCUAAUACCUYGGAGGGAUGACGGUACCUGAAGAAUAAGCACCGGCUAACUACGUGCCAGCAGCCGCGGUAAUACGUAGGGUGCGAGCGUUAAUCGGAAUUACUGGGCGUAAAGCGUGCGCAGGCGGUYAUGUAAGACAGAUGUGAAAUCCCCGGGCUCAACCUGGGAACUGCAUUUGUGACUGCAYRGCUAGAGURCGGCAGAGGGGGAUGGAAUUCCGCGUGUAGCAGUGAAAUGCGUAGAUAUGCGGAGGAACACCGAUGGCGAAGGCAAUCCCCUGGGCCUGYACUGACGCUCAUGCACGAAAGCGUGGGGAGCAAACAGGAUUAGAUACCCUGGUAGUCCACGCCCUAAACGAUGUCAACUGGUUGUUGGGAGGGUUUCUUCUCAGUAACGAAGCUAACGCGUGAAGUUGACCGCCUGGGGAAGUACGGCCGCAAGGUUG
rnacentral:rRNA from 1 species